GCACCGAAGUCUUCAAGUACUACACCACUAAAGCACCGGAAGCACAACUUACGAUUCCCCGAGCCACUACACUGACGCCCUGAAGUAUUACUCUGCCCCGAGUUACUACACCACCAAGGCGACGGAGGAUGACUACGCGUGCUGCCCCAUCCUCCGAGGCUCAUACACCGAGGCUCCUAACUGCUACACCGAGGCUCCCGCUGAUUUCUCCACCAAGACGGUCGAAUACUACACCGAAGCGGCAAAGUACUAAUCUGCCCCGAUCUACACAACCACAACUGAGGCGGAGAAGUAUUGCGCAGUCCCUACUUGCUACACCAAAGCUGCGGUUUCGUGCUACGUUGAACAGAAUUACUACACCGAUGCCCCAGUCUACUACACCACGACUUACGCUUCACCUAGCUACAACAACGCAGCCUCAAAGUACUACACCGAAGGAGCCGCCUAUUACACAACUACGUACGCUGCCCUACGUCGACGAAAUUAAGUAUUGCCCUGCUCGAAACUACUACCAAACUUCACAUUUAUUGCAAUUUCCACGACUAUGUCACCACUGCUCCGACCUAUACAUCGAAGUUCUGAAGUAUUUCUGUAUGUGUUGAAAGAUUGCUGAAAUACAAGAUUGAUUGAUAAA